GAUGAAGAACGCAGCGAAAUGCGAUACGUAAUGUGAAUUGCAGAAUUCAGUGAAUCAACGAGUCUUUGAACGCACAUUGCGCCCCCUGGUAUUCCGGGGGGCAUGCCUGUCCGAGCGUCAUUGCUGCCCUCAAGCACGGCUUGUGUGUUGGGCCUCCGUCCUCCUCCCGGGGGACGGGCCCGAAAGGCAGCGGCGGCACCGCGUCCGGUCCUCGAGCGUAUGGGGCUUCGUCACCCGCUCUUGUAGGCCCGGCCGGCGCUUGCCGACACAUCAAUCUUUUUUCCAGGUUGACCUCGGAUCAGGUAGGGAUACCCGCUGAACUUAAGCAUAUCAAUAAGCGGAGGA
rnacentral:misc_RNA from 1 species